rnacentral:misc_RNA from 1 species
GCCGCUGGCCCACCAAACUCUUUUUCUGUUUAGGGACUCUCUGAGAAAACAAGCAAAUAAGUUAAAACUUUCAACAACGGAUCUCUUGGCUCUGGCAUCGAUGAAGAACGCAGCGAAAUGCGAUAAGUAAUGUGAAUUGCAGAAUUCAGUGAAUCAUCGAAUCUUUGAACGCACAUUGCGCCCGCCAGUAUUCUGGCGGGCAUGCCUGUCCGAGCGUCAUUUCAACCCUCAAGCCCUGCUUGGUGUUGGGGUCCGCGCGGCUCUGCCGCANGCCCUGAAAGCUAGUGGCGGGCUCGCUACAACUCCGAGCGCAGNAGUGUAUCUCGCUGAGGAGGCGNGG